UACGUAGGGGGCAAGCGUUGUCCGGAUUUAUUGGGCGUAAAGAGCGUGUAGGCGGUCUGGUAGGUCCGUUGUGAAAACUCGAGGCUCAACCUCGAGACGCCGAUGGAAACCAUCAGACUAGAGUCCGGAAGAGGAGAGUGGAAUUCCUGGUGUAGCGGUGAAAUGCGCAGAUAUCAGGAAGGACACCCGUGGCGAAGGCGGCUCUCUGGAACGCAACUGACGCUGAGACGCGAAAGCGUGGGGAGCAAACAGG
rnacentral:rRNA from 1 species